UCAAGAUGCUCUUGCAAGCCCGCCAAGCUAUCAAGCGUGGUCUCAAAUGCUCUAGUGUGACCUCGAUACAGGCCCUCCGUCUCAACACCAAAGAUAUUUAUCCCUGUCACGUCACUUAUUAACAUCAACGAUUAACAAUUAACAACAACUGUAAAACAUGCAGCUAAAACACUGUGUAUAUACCCUGUUCUUACUCUUCAUAGCUUCGGUGUAUUAUCAAUUGUGCCCUCGCAAGAAAACUUGAGAUGACUAUGGUUCAAGGGUAUUUUAGUGUUUUUAUAUAACCUAUAGUCAUUAAUGGUUUGUGAAGGAGCACCAGUGACCUUUUAGUUUUGUUGGGACGGUAAAAUGACUUCUUUUCCCUUUUGAUCAAUUUUUUCUAACUCUCUAGCGAGGGUAGUUGGGUCUUUUCAUUUCACCGGAGAAGAAAAGGGGACGACGAAAAGCCAGAAGAGAAAAGGAAAGGGUACUCAUGAUGGAGAAGAAACAAGUGCAGAGGCAGGGAUUUGCUUGCGCAUCACCGAUGACAAGGAUGGUUAGGCUGGUGGUGAUUCUUGUACGCUUGAUAAGAGGAUGUCAGAUUGCAAGGAAAGAAGGUAUUUCGGUUGAAAUCCCAAGUCUUUAAUGUUAUUCCUACAUCGGUUUAACCUCCGAGUCGGCUUCUAAUCUGUUCAUAUGUUAAUCAGCCUAUUGAGAAGGGCAAGUAAGCAAGUAAUCAAGCUCCGAGAUCAACAAGAAUCAGCUCUUUGCUAGAGUUCCUGGAAGGUAUUGUGUAUUAUUGAUGGAUUUAAACUUACAAAAAGCAUAUAUUGAACUGUUGCUUUUAAUUUGAUCUUUGUAGACCAAUUUCUUUUUUUUAAUCUAUGUUUUCAGUUCUAAAAGCAAAACCACAUGUAGAUUUUGGGGUGAGAGGAAGCAGGAUUAGGUAUAUGGUUGAAAAAAUUAUCAAAACAUUUUUUUUUUCCCGUUUAGGAUAUCAUUUUCAGGGUUUUAUUGGUGGUUUUUCUGGACAAGUUCUGGUCUCUUGAUUCUCCCGCUUCUUUUUUCUCUUCCACAUGUUGUUGCUGGCCUGGGCCAUGGUGGCCUCUUUAAAAUGCUGAAUUAUCUUGCCAGCCUGUAUCUUUUGUGUGCUGCUAAAAAACGUGGAGGGAAAUUCUUCUCCCCUGUUUAAGGUUGUUACUAGAUUGAUGUUUUUGUGCCA